UUGAACGCUGGCGGCAUGCCUUACACAUGCAAGUCGAACGGCAGCACGGGGGCAACCCUGGUGGCGAGUGGCGAACGGGUGAGUAAUAUAUCGGAACGUACCCUAGAGUGGGGGAUAACGUAGCGAAAGUUACGCUAAUACCGCAUACGAUCUACGGAUGAAAGUGGGGGCUCGCAAGACCUCAUGCCCAUGGAGCGGCCGAUAUCUGAUUAGCUAGUUGGUGAGGUAAAGGCUCACCAAGGCGACGAUCAGUAGCUGGUCUGAGAGGACGACCAGCCACACUGGGACUGAGACACGGCCCAGACUCCUACGGGAGGCAGCAGUGGGGAAUUUUGGACAAUGGGGGCAACCCUGAUCCAGCAAUGCCGCGUGAGUGAAGAAGGCCUUCGGGUUGUAAAGCUCUUUUGUCUGGGAAGAAACGGUGAAGGCUAAUAUCCUUUGCUAAUGACGGUACCUGAAGAAUAAGCACCGGCUAACUACGU
rnacentral:rRNA from 1 species